CAAGGGAGUUGGGUGUUAGUGACACGGUGUUGAAAUUGCUGGCCUGGGGAGCUGAGACCUGACCCGGGUUCUCUUUUCACUCACCAUCUUCUCCAGAGGACGGUGCCAAGGCUUCUGAGGACAGGGGGAAGGUGGACGAUUCUGUGUGAGGCGUCACAGACGAAGGGACCACAAAGCUGAGUCUUAAUGAGUAAACAGCCCAAACAUGCUCCCUUCCUGUGGAUGAAUGGUAGAUGGAGGAAUAUGAAGGAAGCGGUGAUUAAGAACAUAACUUCUGCAACCUAAGUGUCCAUUGACAGAUGAAUGGAUGGAGAAGAUGUGGUAUAUAUACACAAUGGAAUAUUACUCAGCCAUAAAGAAGAAUGAAAUAAUGCCAUUUGCAGUAACAUGGAUGGAACCAGAGAUUAUCAUACUAAGUGACUUCAUUGUUCAAGACGUCUUGAUAUUUGAGAAGUCAACUACCAGAGUACCAGAACCUUGCUGCAUUGCCACGAGAACAAGCCUGGGCCUGCCUGCUGGAGGAUGAGAGACGCUAUGGAGCAGAGAUGAGCCAUCCCAGCUGAUGCCACCCUGACCAACCAGUGCCCAGCCAAACCAAGAGCUGACCACAGACCCAAGACCAGAGGAGCCGCCUAGCUGAGCCCAGACCAAACUGCUGACCUGAAGAAAGACCUACGGGAACAAAGGAUCCGCGGAAUAUGCUGUUGAGAAGUGUAACGUGGUAGCAAAGUUCAACUCUGAAGUCACAAGACCUGGCUUGCUCC